rnacentral:tRNA from 1 species
GCCCAGGUGGCGGAAUAGGUAGACGCAAGGGACUUAAAAUCCCUCGGUCGCAAGACCGUGCUGGUUCAAGUCCAGUCUUGGGCACCA